rnacentral:rRNA from 1 species
GGAGAAAAGCAGGGGAUCGCAAGACCUUGCGCUAAAGGAGCGGCCGAUGUCUGAUUAGCUAGUUGGUGGGGUAAAGGCUUACCAAGGCAACGAUCAGUAGUUGGUCUGAGAGGACGGCCAACCACACUGGGACUGAGACACGGCCCAGACUCCUACGGGAGGCAGCAGUGGGGAAUUUUGGACAAUGGGCGAAAGCCUGAUCCAGCCAUGCCGCGUGAGUGAAGAAGGCCUUCGGGUUGUAAAGCUCUUUUAGUCGGAAAGAAAGAGUUGCAAUGAAUAAUUGUGAUUUAUGACGGUACCGACAGAAAAAGCACCGGCUAACUACGUGCCAGCAGCCGCGGUAAUACGUAGGGUGCGAGCGUUAAUCGGAAUUACUGGGCGUAAAGGGUGCGCAGGCGGUCUUGCAAGUCAGAUGUGAAAUCCCCGGGCUUAACCUGGGAAUUGCGUUUGAAACUACAAAGCUAG